rnacentral:lncRNA from 1 species
AUUAAUAUUACACUGACAAAUCAUUCUCAUUCAAAAGGCAGAACCAUUAAACAACACCAAAAACCUCGGGCUCAUAAGCACGGCCUAUGUUGCACAGCACAGUGGAGGAUUUGAUGCAACGUGCAAGGCCCUCACUUUGGAAGGAAGCAACUAGUCAUGGACGGGGAAGGAGAGGAUUAAAAAGAAGAGAUGAAUUUCUUGGGACAAAGUAAAAAUUACCCUGAACCUUUAUCCAGAGCUUCAAAGAAUCAUUGCAUAGAAAUGAUUUUAUCUGGGAGUGGAGAGGCACAAGACAUUGUGUGAGAACACUUCCCCCACUGUGGCGUUUCCCAUGGAAGCCAAUCCAGACACUGGAAAUCAGAAGAAAGCUCCCGGCCGCCACCUUCUGUGUCAACGGAUCGCCUCGGACCAACACGGUACCUGGUUUUGGAACCCUGGAAUCUACCCAGGAAGAGGAUCAGCUGAGGAAGACAAGACAGCCAACGACGGCUUCUUUGCAAUACACGGAGCUACGUUUGCCCAUGAAGACACCAUGAAGAGGACAGUUCCACUGACCAUAAAGCUCUUUGCCGUGCGGCUCAUGCAAGUCUCUCUGGAGCUCUGUGAUUUGGAAAACCCUGUUCAAGGCAGGCUGUGUCCUGUGCUUCUACAACAGUUGGAUUUCCUUCUUUGCUUGCUGUGGAGUCUCUGCAAGUCUUCAGAUGUCCAGCACUUGGCACCUGUAUGGCUACAAGGAGGCAACAGAUAA